GGCAAGUGUGAUGAAUCAAUUAGAUGUACGAAAAGGGAAACCUUUUUUGUGAACUUACUUUGUUGAGGCAUAAUUUUUCUGACUUACGCGCC